UUCUAUUAAUAGCCUAUUUAAUACGUUGGAAAAUACGAACAAUAGUUUAAACACCAAAGAAUUUGGCGGUGUCUUAACUAAUUAGGGGAACCUGUCCCUUAAAUCGAUAGUCCACGAAAAUCUUACCUAGCUUUGAAACUCAGUCAGUGUACUGCCGUCUUAAGUAUACCUUUAUGAGAGUAUACAAUAAAUUACUCUAUAGAUUAAUAAAACGUCAGGUCAAAGUGCAGCUUAUAGUUAGGAGGAGAUGGGUUACAACCUAAAUAAAGACUACGAAUAAAAGUAAUAAACUACUUUUCUGAAGGUGGACUUAACAGUAAUUAUAUGAAAGAUAAUGAAAAUUAUAUAAGACAAGU
rnacentral:rRNA from 1 species